GGGCAGGAGUCACAGCAACCCUGCUCUGCCACACUUGAGGUGUUUCUUAGGACCAUCCUGAAACACUUGUUAUCUCAAGGGCAGGCAUUUGGGGCUCAAGGAGGUGAUAAAAGUGCCAGCUGAGCUGCUGUGAGCAGUGGUGAGCCAACACCUUGCUGCCGGGGAAGAUACUGAGAUGCCAGAUGAAUGCCAGCAGCUGGGAGACUCCAAGGGACAAGUUUGCUGAGUGCCAACACACAAAAGUCCUUGGGAAGCCAGGGAGGUGACAGCAGGGAUGGGUGAACCUCAAAGAUGUGCCUCAGUCCUGGUCACUGGGGACAUCCCAGCUGCUGGGGCUGGAAACUCCUCUCUCCUCUCGUGGCUCAGAUCAGUGGAUGCAUCGAGGUCUGCUGACUUCACUCCUGCCAUCCAGCCAGUGACACCUAAAUAUUUUCCUCCUUCAGGAGACAAAGGGAAGGAGGGCAGCCUGGCUCUUGUCAAGUGUGGAGCUGACAGCUUUACAGCCUCGCUGGGGAGAGCAGCUGAAAGAAAGAGCGUUAGAUUUAAUCUGUGCUGACAGGGGUGGGUGAUGGGUAUUUUUAUAGUGGAGGAAAUGUAUCGAACAGGGGAAAUUAGACCAGAAGAUGAUAAGGAUCUGGGCCUGACAACGCCAAUUAAUAGAUGUUUACAAAUGAUAAAAGCUGAUAGAUCAAA